AAAAGGUAAGCUAAGUAAGCUAGUAGGUUCAUACCCUGUUUAUGAAAGUAAAAUCUUUCCCUUUUUAA
rnacentral:tRNA from 1 species